rnacentral:lncRNA from 1 species
UACUAUUUUUAUGGUAAAUACAGACAUGUAACUUGUGAUUUCAUUACAACGUCAUGUACAAAGCAAGCAAAAAAGCACACAAAUAAUUCUUCACAGAAACUUGAAAAAAAAAAAGGCCCUUAACAAGCAAGAUAUAUUUCAAAGACAAAACUGAUAAAGUUAAAAUCUAGAAUUAUAUUCAAGUUAAAGCACUACAAUGAGUAGAUACAUUAACAUUCCAAACUAUAAAACUUACGGGGGAAAAAAACAUUUUAAAUGAAGGAAAUCUGUUCACAUUCCAAACAGCAACAUCUAAGGGGACAUAAAUACGAAGAAAAGAGCAAAAUCCAAGACUGCUUUUUUAAUCCCAGAAGUAUGACUUUCUUCUACGAGUUGCUAAUAUAGGUGGAGAUUUAAAGUCCAUUUCCUAAGACUCUUACAUUUAGCUGUCUAGUCUACUCUUACU